AAGAGGGUAUUUUUGAAGUUAAAGCCACGGCUGGUGAUACCCAUCUUGGUGGUGAAGAUUUUGAUAAUAGAAUGGUUAAUCAUUUUGUACAGGAGUUUAAGAGGAAGAAUAAGAAGGAUAUUAGUGGAAACCCUAGGGCUCUUAGGAGGUUGAGAACAGCUUGUGAGAGAGCGAAGAGAACUCUCUCAUCAACUGCCCAAACAACCAUUGAGAUUGAUUCUUUGUAUGAGGGUGUUGAUUUUUACACCACAAUUACUCGUGCUAGGUUUGAGGAGCUUAACAUGGAUUUGUUCAGGAAAUGUAUGGAGCCCGUGGAGAAGUGUUUGAGGGAUGCUAAGAUGGACAAGAGCACAGUUCAUGAUGUUGUUCUUGUUGGUGGUUCCACUAGGAUUCCUAAAGUUCAGCAGUUGUUGCAGGACUUCUUCAAUGGGAAGGAGCUUUGCAAGAGCAUCAACCCAGACGAGGCAGUUGCUUAUGGUGCUGCUGUCCAGGCAGCUAUUUUGAGCGGUGAAGGAAAUGAGAAGGUACAAGAUUUGUUACUUUUGGAUGUGACUCCAUUGUCUCAAGGUUUGGAGACUGCAGGAGGUGUCAUGACUGUAUUGAUUCCAAGGAACACUACAAUUCCAACGAAGAAGGAGCAAGUGUUCUCUACCUAUUCUGAUAACCAACCUGGUGUCUUGAUUCAAGUUUAUGAGGGUGAGAGAACAAGAACAAAGGACAACAACUUGUUGGGAAAAUUUGAGCUUUCUGGAAUUCCUCCAGCUCCCCGUGGUGUUCCUCAGAUCACUGUUUGCUUUGACAUUGAUGCAAACGGUAUCUUGAAUGUCUCUGCUGAAGACAAAACCACAGGGCAGAAGAACAAGAUUACCAUUACCAAUGACAAAGGGAGGUUGUCAAAGGAAGAAAUAGAGAAGAUGGUACAAGAAGCAGAGAAGUACAAGAGUGAAGAUGAGGACCACAAGAAGAAGGUAGAGGCAAAGAACUCGUUGGAGAACUAUGCCUACAACAUGAGAAACACAAUCAAAGAUGAUAAGAUCAGUUCAAAGCUUUCUGCAGGUGAUAAGAAAGUGAUUGAGGAUGCAAUUGAGGGGGCCAUUCAAUGGCUUGAUGCCAACCAGCUUGCUGAAGCGGAUGAAUUUGAAGACAAGAUGAAGGAGCUUGAGACAGUUUGCAAUCCUAUUAUUGCAAAAAUGUAUCAAGGUGGUGCUGGUGGUGAAGGUCCUGAAAUUGAUGAGGAUG
rnacentral:lncRNA from 1 species